rnacentral:misc_RNA from 1 species
GAUGAAGAACGCAGCGAAAUGCGAUAAGUAAUGUGAAUUGCAGAAUUCAGUGAAUCAUCGAAUCUUUGAACGCACAUUGCGCCCGCCAGUAUUCUGGCGGGCAUGCUUGUUCGAGCGUCAUUUCAACCAUCAAGCCCCCGGCUUGUGUUGGGGACCUGCGGCUGCCGCAGGCCCUGAAAACCAGUGGCGGGCUCGCUGUCACACCGAGCGUAGUAGAUUUUCAUCUCGCUCAGGGCGUGCUGCGGGUUCCGGCCGUAAAAAGCCUUAUUUACCCAAGGUUGACCUCGGAUCAGGUAGGAAGACCCGCUGAACUUAAGCAUAUCAAUAAGCGGAGGA